rnacentral:lncRNA from 1 species
CCAACUCCCGGUGGAAAAACCUGAAAGUAGGCUUUGAUGCGCCCGAGGUCAACUGCUACCAACUCUUGCACGUCCCGGCCGGUGUUGCUUAGCUUUUCACUCCCAAACGCUGCAAACUGGCCUUGCCGCCGCGACUAGUACUUGGGGCAAGUUUUCCUGAAGCUUAUUGGAGCGGGUAGUUCCGCUGCGUCCUGCCGAAAAUCUG